ACAACAGGAUGGCUUCAUCCAACCAUCAAUCAAUAUAACUUAGAACAUGAGGUUACAAUUGACACUGUUCCAAAUGUGAAGAAACAACAUGAAGUGAACGUCGGUAUCUCCAAUUCAUUCGGAUUCGGAGGGCAUAAUUCUGUGGUUGUUUUUGCACCCUACAAACCUUGAACAAAAGCUCAUAAUUUUCUUAAAGAUCCACCGCACCCCAGGAGGAUCAACAGUGUUCUCUAUCACUAACCCUCCAGCGUUGACUUGAACCCUCAACAUACAAUCGGUGCUAGAAGUGCUCAACCACUCGAGCAAGCUUCACUUGUAUCAAAUUAUAUAAUUCAAAUCUUAGAGAGUUUGUCUAUUUUUCCCACAGCAAAUGCCAGAUUUAUGAAUAAGGAAUUGUUCCAUCAAUAAACUUCUCAAUUACAAUCA